AGAUAAAAUAUUAAAUUUUAUCGAAUUCGUAAAGUUGAUGCUUAUGUCACUCUAUAGUUGAUUUCUUGGAAGAUGUUUUAGGGUUUGUGUUUUUAUUCUUUUCUAUAAAAAGAGUUGUGUCUUUGAUUUCAGAUCUGACUAUUUUCUUGUUGGUGUGUGUGAAGUGAAGAGAAAGGAAGGAGGAGGGGGGAACACAGAGAAUCAAGACUGACAGAAGAGAGUGAGCACACGAUGUCAAAUUGUAUAAAUAUAUAUACAAUUGUCAUUUGCGUGUGCUCACUUCUCAUUCUGUCAGAAUCUAAGUUUCUCCUUCUCCUUCUUUUUAUGCUUUUACCACCUAUUCGAGAUAUAACAGAUGUUGAAUUCUCUCGUAACAUGACACUUGUUGAAGCAGCAUAAAUGUAAGGACAUUUGUGAUUUUAUCUUUAAAAUUUAUGUUUUUAUUUUAGUAUAUCUAAGCUAUAGAUAGACUGAUGGACAUGACAUUUCAGCAUACACACCCACAAAAUAGAUAAAGAUAAUAGAUAUAUUCUUUUUACUUUCAAAAAGCGAAUUCACAAUUUGAAGUUUACAGAUUUCUACAAUAAUCUUAAGCUAUUGCUAUAAAAAAAAAUAAUCACAUUCAAAAUUAAAUAUUUAGUAAACUUCUUAAUAUAUACACAAGAUUUAAUGAAUUCACGUGAACUUGUACAUGAAAUUCUAUAUUUGUUGUUGUUGGUGGUUUUGGUUAUUAGACAGAAAAGAAGAAGAAGUUUAUCAUCAGAUGAGAGUCAGGUCCACGCAUCCGGUAUCAAACACAUGGAUCAUGUCGAGGCGUGCUGAGUGAUGAAUGGAUGAAGAAAUCCCUAAUUUUCCCAGCAGAAUCUCAAUGUGAAUUUGAGUGCAAAUCUACAUCCAGUUGUUAGCAUGGCUUGCUUGGGAUGAUCAAAUGGUGAAGUAAAAGGAUAUAUUUCAUUGCGCGUUGAUUCAAAUAUGACAAGGGCUCAUUUGGAGUGGUGCUCCCAAGAGGAUUUUCUCCAUAUCCCGGGUUCGAACCCGACUGAGACUUCUGGUAUUGUUGUUGUUGUUGUUGUAAUGUUGGUGGUUGAUUGAACCAACUUCCAUUGCUUGAAACUUUUAAAAAUUUUUUUGUUAACAACCUUAACUUUGAACAAGAUAUUUGUAAUGCGAUGGUCAUUGGUUCGAUUUUGAUAACGUCUUUCUUUAGGUCAUAAAAAGGGUUUUCUA